rnacentral:lncRNA from 1 species
AAACAGUAAAAGAUAUUAUUUUAUAUAAAAACAGAAAGAUACUCCCCUUGCUUGAUAUUCUUUUUAUUUUUCUUCUUCCUGCUGAGUUUCUUCAUAAAGUUGAGAACACCAAGCACAUGUUUCCAUGUUUCAACCAUAGGAACUUUGAUCUCCAAUUUCUUGAAGAUCUCCAUGGAGCACAUAAACUUCUUUUCUUUCCUAUGAUAUUUCUUUUGAUGAGGAAGAGGUUUUUCAUAUGAUCUUUUCUUCUUUUCUUUCUUCCUCUUCUUUUCACUCUUCUUCUCCCUCAACUUUCUCUUUUUCUCUCUUUUUAUUUUCUUUUUUAUCUUUGCACAUUUUCUAUUUUUCUUUUUUCUUUCAACCACUUAAAUGGUAAAGCUCCCUGGAUCUUGUAAUUUAGGAGGUAAUGUUCUCUGUAUGAUUGCACUGCAAUUUCCUUGCACCUCAAUAGUUUCCUUCUCAAUGAGAAGUUCUUUCAAAAAUUUCGCAUAUGAUGGCAUUUGCUGAAGUGCUUCAGAAAAUGGUAUGGUUAUUUCCAACUUCUUAAAAAUUUCCAUACAUCACUCCAAUUGCUUUUCUUUCUCCCUCCUAGAAUAUGUCUUUGGAUAGGGCAAAGGUUUUUCAUACUCCUUUUCUUUCAAUUUUUCAACCUCUUCUUCUAUCUUUUCCUCAUCUAUCUUUAUCUCUUUUUCCUCUAUCUUCUCCUUCUUUCUCUCCAUGUUUUUCUCCUUCUUUUUCUCCAUUUUUUUCUCCUCUAUUUUCUCCUCAUCUAUCUCUAUCUUUUCUUCAUCUAUCUUCUCCUCAACAACAACCUUUUUUGUUUCUAUCUCUUCUAUCCUUUUCACCUCUCUCUUUAUCUUCUCCUCAUCAACAACCUCAUUACUUUCAGAUUUAGUGGCUUGACAUUCCUCCCUAGGGUUAACCUCAGUAUUAACCCUAGAAUUCAAUAUCACAUUGGAGUGACGAAUCUGUAUCUCCAACCUUUUAUUUCUUGCAUCACUCUCUUCUGUAGAGGAGAGGGAAUUUGGAUAAGUCGUUCCAAUGUCUCGUCCAAUCUGUUGAUUUGCUCAUUCCAAUAAGAUACAUGUUGCCCUAAUAGUAAUUGUUGAUGUGGUUCUUCUG